rnacentral:rRNA from 1 species
GAACGCUGGCGGCGUGCUUAACACAUGCAAGUCGAGCGGUAAGGCCUUUCGGGGUACACGAGCGGCGAACGGGUGAGUAACACGUGGGUGAUCUGCCCUGCACUUCGGGAUAAGCCUGGGAAACUGGGUCUAAUACCGGAUAUGACCUCCUAUCGCAUGGUGGGUGGUGGAAAGAUUUAUCGGUGCAGGAUGGGCCCGCGGCCUAUCAGCUUGUUGGUGGGGUAAUGGCCUACCAAGGCGACGACGGGUAGCCGACCUGAGAGGGUGACCGGCCACACUGGGACUGAGACACGGCCCAGACUCCUACGGGAGGCAGCAGUGGGGAAUAUUGCACAAUGGGCGAAAGCCUGAUGCAGCGACGCCGCGUGAGGGAUGACGGCCUUCGGGUUGUAAACCUCUUUCAGCAGGGACGAAGCGCAAGUGACGGUACCUGCAGAAGAAGCACCGGCUA